rnacentral:rRNA from 1 species
AUUGAACGCUGGCGGCAUGCUUUACACAUGCAAGUCGAACGGCAGCGCGGGGCAACCUCGCGGCGAGUGGCGAACGGGUGAGUAAUAUAUCGGAACGUACCCAGAAGUGGGGGAUAACGUAGCGAAAGUUACGCUAAUACCGCAUACGAUCUACGGAUGAAAGUAGGGGACCGCAAGGCCUUAUGCUUUUGGAGCGGCCGAUAUCUGAUUAGCUAGUUGGUGAGGUAAAGGCUCACCAAGGCGACGAUCAGUAGCUGGUCUGAGAGGACGACCAGCCACACUGGAACUGAGACACGGUCCAGACUCCUACGGGAGGCAGCAGUGGGGAAUUUUGGACAAUGGGCGCAAGCCUGAUCCAGCAAUGCCGCGUGAGUGAAGAAGGCCUUCGGGUUGUAAAGCUCUUUUGUCAGGGAAGAAACGGUAGAGGCUAAUAUCCUUUGCUAAUGACGGUACCUGAAGAAUAAGCACCGGCUAACUACGUG